GUGGAUUAGUGGCGAACGGGUGAGUAACACGUGAGUAACCUGCCCUUAACUCUGGGAUAAGCCUGGGAAACUGGGUCUAAUACCGGAUAGGAGCGUCCACCGCAUGGUGGGUGUUGGAAAGAUUUAUCGGUUUUGGAUGGACUCGCGGCCUAUCAGCUUGUUGGUGAGGUAAUGGCUCACCAAGGCGACGACGGGUAGCCGGCCUGAGAGGGUGACCGGCCACACUGGGACUGAGACACGGCCCAGACUCCUACGGGAGGCAGCAGUGGGGAAUAUUGCACAAUGGGCGAAAGCCUGAUGCAGCGACGCCGCGUGAGGGAUGACGGCCUUCGGGUUGUAAACCUCUUUCAGUAGGGAAGAAGCGAAAGUGACGGUACCUGCAGAAGAAGCACCGGCUAACUACGUGCCAGCAGCCGCGGUAAUACGUAGGGUGCGAGCGUUAUCCGGAAUUAUUGGGCGUAAAGAGCUCGUAGGCGGUUUGUCGCGUCUGUCGUGAAAGUCCGGGGCUUAACCCCGGAUCUGCGGUGGGUACGGGCAGACUAGAGUGCAGUAGGGGAGACUGGAAUUCCUGGUGUAGCGGUGGAAUGCGCAGAUAUCAGGAGGAACACCGAUGGCGAAGGCAGGUCUCUGGGCUGUAACUGACGCUGAGGAGCGAAAGCAUGAGGAGCGAACAGGAUUAGAUACCCUGGUAGUCCAUGCCGUAAACGUUGGGCACUAGGUGUGGGGACCAUUCCACGGUUUCCGCGCCGCAGCUAACGCAUUAAGUGCCCCGCCUGGGGAGUACGGCCGCAAGGCUAAAACUCAAAGGAAUUGACGGGCGCC
rnacentral:rRNA from 1 species